UGAUCCUGGCUCAAAUUGAACGCUGGCGGCAGGCCUAACACAUGCAAGUCGAACGGUAAAGAAGCUUGCUUCUUACGAGUGGCGGACGGGUGAGUAAUGUCUGGGAAACUGCCUGAUGGAGGGGGAUAACUACUGGAAACGGUAGCUAAUACCGCAUAACGUCGCAAAACCAAAGAGGUUCGUCUUGCCAUCGGAUGUGCCCAGAUGGGAUUAGCUAGUAGGUGGGGUAACGGCUCACCUAGGCGACGAUCCCUAGCUGGUCUGAGAGGAUGACCAGCCACACUGGAACUGAGACACGGUCCAGACUCCUACGGGAGGCAGCAGUGGGGAAUAUUGCACAAUGGGCGCAAGCCUGAUGCAGCCAUGCCGCGUGUAUGAAGAAGGCCUUCGGGUUGUAAAGUACUUUCAGCGGGGAGGAAGGGGGUAAAGUAAUCUUUGCUCUUGACGUUACCCGCAGAAGAAGCACCGGCUAACUCCGUGCCAGCAGCCGCGGUAAUACGGAGGGUGCAAGCGUUAAUCGGAAUUACUGGGCGUAAAGCGCACGCAGGCGGUUUGUUAAGUCAGAUGUGAAAUCCCCGGGCUCAACCUGGGAACUGCAUCUGAUACUGGCAAGCUUGAGUCUCGUAGAGGGGGGUAGAAUUCCAGGUGUAGCGGUGAAAUGCGUAGAGAUCUGGAGGAAUACCGGUGGCGAA
rnacentral:rRNA from 1 species